UGUACCUACGGGAGGCAGCAGUAGGGAAUCUUCCACAAUGGACGAAAGUCUGAUGGAGCAACGCCGCGUGAGUGAAGAAGGGUUUCGGCUCGUAAAGCUCUGUUGGGAGUGAAGAAAGAUAGAGGUAGUAACUGUCCUUUAUUUGACGGUAAUUACUUAGAAAGUCACGGCUAACUACGUGCCAGCAGCCCCGGGAAUACGGAGGUGGCAAGCGGUGUUCGGAUUUAUUGGGCGUAAAGCG
rnacentral:rRNA from 1 species